CCUACGGGAGGCAGCAGUAGGGAAUUUUCGUCAAUGGGCGCAAGCCUGAACGAGCAAUGCCGCGUGAACGAGGAAGGUCUUCGGAUCGUAAAGUUCUGUUGAAGGGGAAAAAGAGCGGAGAGAGGAAAUGGUCUCCGAUUGAUAGUACCCAUCGAGGAAGUCACGGCUAACUACGUGCCAGCAGCCGCGGUAAUACGUAGGUGGCGAGCGUUAUCCGGAAUGAGUGGGCGUAAAGGGUGCGUAGGCGGCCUGCUAAGUCUGGAGUGAAAGGGACCGCCUCAACCGGUACAGGCUCUGGAAACUGGCGGGCUAGCGCGCCGGCGCGGGCGGUGGAACUCCCUGUGUAGCGGUCAAAUGCGUAGAUAUCUGG
rnacentral:rRNA from 1 species